rnacentral:misc_RNA from 1 species
UGAGCGGAGCCAUCUGGAACA